UAGGGAAUCUUCCACAAUGGACGCAAGUCUGAUGGAGCAACGCCGCGUGAGUGAAGAAGGUCUUCGGAUCGUAAAGCUCUGUUGUUGGUGAAGAAGGAUAGAGGCAGUAACUGGUCUUUAUUUGACGGUAAUCAACCAGAAAGUCACGGCUAACUACGUGCCAGCAGCCGCGGUAAUACGUAGGUGGCAAGCGUUGUCCGGAUUUAUUGGGCGUAAAGCGAGCGCAGGCGGAAUGAUAAGUCUGAUGUGAAAGCCCACGGCUCAACCGUGGAACUGCAUCGGAAACUGUCAUUCUUGAGUGCAGAAGAGGAGAGUGGAACUCCAUGUGUAGCGGUGGAAUGCGUAGAUAUAUGGAAGAACACCAGUGGCGAAGGCGGCUCUCUGGUCUGCAACUGACGCUGAGGCUCGAAAGCAUGGGUAGCGAACAGGAUUAGAUACCCUGGUAGUCC
rnacentral:rRNA from 1 species